UACGUAAGGACCGAGCGUUGUCCGGAAUCAUUGGGCGUAAAGGGUACGUAGGCGGUCUAGUAAGUUAGAAGUGAAAGGCAAUAGCUCAACUAUUGUAAGCUUUUAAAACUGCUAGACUUGAGAGAUUGAAGGGAAAGUGGAAUUCCUAGUGUAGCGGUGAAAUGCGUAGAUAUUAGGAGGAAUACCGGUGGCGAAGGCGACUUUCUGGAAUCUUACUGACGCUGAGGUACGAAAGCGUGGGGAGCAAACAGG
rnacentral:rRNA from 1 species